rnacentral:rRNA from 1 species
UACGUAGGGUGCGAGCGUUGCCCGGAUUUAUUGGGCGUAAAGGGUGCGUAGGCGGCGCGGUAAGUCGGGUGUGAAAUCUUGGAGCUUAACUCCGAAACUGCAUUCGAUACUGCCGUGCUUGAGGACUGGAGAGGAGACUGGAAUUUACGGUGUAGCGGUGAAAUGCGUAGAUAUCGUAAGGAAGACCAGUGGCGAAGGCGGGUCUCUGGACAGUUC